GCGGCUGUAAUUCAGUGGUAGAAUGCAAGCUUCCCAAGCUUGACGUCGUGGGUUCGAGUCCCAUCGGCCGCUCCA
rnacentral:tRNA from 1 species